AGAUCUUUGUCUUUCUGAGACUAAGUCUCUGCUCUCCCGUCUGCCACUAUGCAUCAAAUUUAUUAAGCUUCUGAGCACUGUUCAGACACGCAUGUGGUUUCAGUUUUCAUGAAGGACUGAGCACGGGACCAUCCACAUGCAAGUCACCUCCUGCAGAAAACCAACAGCACGCCACAGCUGGUAGGUAUCUUUCUGGAUAUCAAGGACAUUCUGAAUAUCCAAGGAGGAGAUCAUUUAGGCUGCAAAGCCACUGCAAACUGAAAUCAAGGGAAAGCUAGUUGACAGUUUCUUGGAGGUUAAGUCAAUGAUUUACCAAAAGUGAGGAACUCCAGAAGUGAGGAAGGGUGGUUAGAGCACAGAGCACUUGGAGUCCCUAAAGGCUCAGGCAACUUUUCUUGCUCUACUGCAGCCUUUUAGGACCCAUCACUCAACAGCAGCAGUCUUAAGGACUAGCAAUGUUACAUGAAACAGGGACAAUGGUACCUCUGCAUGUCACAGGGACGUGAGGCAUUCAAAACACAGUGAUCCCAGAAGAGCUUUACAUGGACAUUAAAAUUAUUAGAUUUCCUUUUAAGCUCCACAUACUCCAAAAAGGGCAAUAUGGAGUACCAACAAUUCAAUUCCGAGUUAGAAGAGAGCCUUAAUUCACAAACACAGAUCUCAGGCCUCUGUAAGAUUUGGAGGAUUUAAGCAGCAAUCAUACUUCAUCAGUUCACAUUUCUUCUCCUCAGCCUUCAAAUAAACAUGAAACAUACUGACCCA
rnacentral:lncRNA from 1 species